CGGGUGAGUAAUGCGUGACCAACCUGCCCCAUGCUCCAGAAUAGCUCUUGGAAACGGGUGGUAAUGCUGGAUGCUCCAACUUGACGCAUGUCUUGUUGGGAAAGUGUUUAGUGGCAUGGGAUGGGGUCGCGUCCUAUCAGCUUGUAGGCGGGGUAAUGGCCCACCUAGGCUUCGACGGUAGCCGGCCUGAGAGGGCGGACGGCCACAUUGGACUGAGAUACGGCCCAGACUCCUACGGGAGGCAGCAGGC
rnacentral:rRNA from 1 species